GCCGCCGUAGCUCAGCUCGGUUAGAGCGCCGGACUCAUAAUCCGGAGGUCCCGGGUUCGAAGCCCGGCGGCGGCACCA
rnacentral:tRNA from 1 species